rnacentral:rRNA from 1 species
UACGGAGGGUGCGAGCGUUGUCCGGAAUCAUUGGGCGUAAAGCGCGCGCAGGUGGGUGAACAAGUCGGAAGUGAAAUCUUGAGGCUCAACCUCGAGGCUGCUCCCGAAACUGUUCGCCUAGGGACUGGUAGAGGCUGGUAGAAUUCCCGGUGUAGCGGUGGAAUGCGUAGAGAUCGGGAAGAAUACCCGUGGCGAAGGCGGCCAGCUGGGCCAGGUCCGACACUGAGGCGCGAAAGCGUGGGGAGCAAACAGG